rnacentral:rRNA from 1 species
CAGCAGCCGCGGUAAUACGAGGGGGGCAAGCGUUGUUCGGAAUUAUUGGGCGUAAAGGGCGCGUAGGCGGUUUGGCAAGUUUGGUGUGAAAUCUUCGGGCUCAACUCGAAGUCUGCAUCGAAAACUGCCGGGCUUGAGUAUGGGAGAGGUGAGUGGAAUUUCCGGUGUAGCGGUGAAAUGCGUAGAUAUCGGAAGGAACACCUGUGGCGAAAGCGGCUCACUGGACCAUAACUGACGCUGAUGCACGAAAGCUAGGGGAGCAAACAGGAUUAGAUACCCCCGUAGUCCCUGUCUCUUAUAC